UGGUGAUAGCAGUGUGUCAUGCAGCAGAGAUGGUGACAAUUGCUUUAGACUGAAUUUUUAUUCAAAAUCUAGCAAAAUCAAGUACAAAACACUAGGUGUAUUCAAUGUUGAGAGACAGGCACAUGGUCAGGUUAUGAACAAUCAGGAUAUAAGAGAUCAAGGCAGCAAUCACAAUCAAGGUAAACAAUCCAGAAUCAACACAGCAAUCAAUCAAGCAGUGGUAUGGCAGUUGUGAAACAGAGUUGAACAGAUACUUCGCAGUAUAAGUUUGGAGUGUACUUAUAUAGAGGUAGUACUUAUAUGGAGAGGUUUCAAGAGAGGGGCUCAGCCUGAAGUUUCUCUCCAACAUGCGUAACAAUGAAGUGAAUCUGAAAUCUCACAAAACUGGAUAUUUGUUCCAAAUUGGGGUGAAACAUGUGUCAGUUUCAUUGCCAGUGCUAACAACCAUUCAGGACCAGAUGAGAAGCAAAGCCGCAGCCUGCUGCUCAGGCACUAAUGACACCACUGCAUGUUUAAAGGUAGGACUUUGACAAUCAACAUGUUUAAAGUUUAAAUCAACAACAGUGAUUGUAUACGGUUAUCACAGGCACUUCCAAACUCAAAGACAAGAACACAGCAGUCAAAAACAGGAAAUAUGUGAGUAGGCUGAACUGGCUUGUGGAGGCAUGAAAACAUGGAAAGGAAUUAGCCAGUGAAUUAAGGAAUAUUAAAGGGGCUCCGAGUGGCAUGACAGAAAAGUGUUCGCCCCCUUUUAUUGGAGAUUGUGAUGAUAUGACAGCCAUCUGCGGCUAGGAGUCCAGGAGAGCAAAAUUGGUCUUGUAUGUCAAUCAUAGUGAGCUUCAUUCGUAUCUGCAUACGUAUCCAUUUUAGAACAAAUUAUCUGUUCAUUCUGAAUAGUGUGUAUGUUUUUGGCUACAUCCCUAAUACAUAUUAUUUUCUUAUAAGGCAAAAUGAGAUGUAUAUAUGUGUGAACACUGGUUAGUGGAUCAGUGUGGAGCUGGAGAAGAAGUGAAUUCUGUGGCUAGUGUGUCAAUUCAAUUAAAACUCUACAUAUUACAUAUUUAAAAAUAUUACAUAAUUCAUAAUUGAUGCCCAUUUGUCAUGAAUACACAAACCAAAUUACAUUGGAUAAUGUAGAAUGGAGCAGUAAUUCCCCGGUCUAAUUUAUAUAUUGGUUGAAAAUAGUCAGUCUGUUUUCAGCUUUUUAACAAAGGUGAAAUGGCCAAAAGAAAAAAAAAAAGAUGUUUGUAUCGUUCUGUCCAGUCUGAACAAACAGACAAAUUUGCAUAUUUGGAAGUCACAUUAAUGGUAAGUAGUGUUCAGUUUUUUUUCUCAUUUACAUACUGCAUUUUCUAUUGAUGUACCAUUUGAUGAGAUUAUCAUAGUUGGUUAAGUGAAAUUAAUCAUGACUUUUUUGCCUUUUAUGGUUUUGCCAGCUUCCUGAUCUUUGUUCUAUGGGCUGCCAUAGACUCAGGAGUGGAAGAAGAAACAGAAUAAGAAUAAGAACACUAAUGAUUAAAAUAGGUGCCUAUGCAUCUGCCGUGCUUCGCCCCUAAUAGUAAGAAAAAGUAGAAUAUCAAUAGGCACCUUCUAUGCUUGGCCCCCUAAUAAAUAAAUAAAAAAAAUAAAAAAAAAAUAAGUAAAGUGCAGAUCUCUAGUUGAGAACUGUCAGAGCCAGACCUCAGAGAACAUGAUGACAGUGCUGCCAUUUUUCUUUCUGUUUUUUUUUUUUUUUUUUUCAGUGUUUUCCAGGGUUUGCACAGGCAUUGUGGUAGGGUUCUUUUUUUUUUUUUAAAUCCUGGAAUUCAGAUACAGAUAUCUGGCACAGAGCAUGCAAUUAAUACAUCUACAGAUAAUCUCACUGCCUUACACCCCUACAAAUUAGACCAAACUGAUUUCUAUUAUGAUAUCCUCAUUCUUCUACUCAACUGUCACUGAGUACUGACUACUGAUGCAUUGCGUUUGGGAGCAUACACUAGGCAAACCUGAGGUAGAAAAAUUGUCAAUAGUCUGUUAACAUGCAGAAGAUGAUGAUAAAGAGCACAGUUUACUCUGGGCACUAUAUAAAUUCCUCCCAGAUUUCACAUUUGUUUUCAUGCGAUUGAAUUCGUUUAAAUUCGUUUGUAUUUGUAUUGUUAUUUGUAUAACAAAGCAGCUUAACCGAAAUGUAGGUAGAUUUAGAUAGCUAAUGAGCAAGGCAGUGGAAAGAGUAAACUCCCUGAGAUGACAUGAGGAAGAAGACUUAAGAAGAACUAGACUCCGUGUGAAUCCCUGGGUGACACCAGAUAGUGUGAAUAUAAAUGACUACUCUUCCACUCUAUACUAUGAAGUCAAUAUAAAAGUGUUUUGAAAGGAUGUUCAUUAUGAGCAGACUUUGAACAAGUCGUGGGAUAAGCAUAGGACAGUGUUUAUGAUUAUAGCUGCAGGUCUUAGGUACAAAUCUACAGCAUCCAGGAGAGAUUAUCCACUGAGGCAAGGGUGAGAGAACUUUAAAUAGUGAGACCAUAAGAUUUUGAUAUACUGUUUAGUAUGAUAGUGUACAGUUUCAUAAAGUAUACAGACAGCUUCAAGUGUCCAUGAUUUGUUCCUAAACUCAUGUUAAUGUCUGUGCACUGGAUUGUCAGAGGGGAUUGUCAAAUACCAUCCAUGGUGUAUUCCUGCCUUAUGCCCAGUAUUCCUGAGACAGUCUCCAGAUCCAUGUUUACCCUGACAAAGAUAAAGCACUUACUGAAGAUGAAUAAAUAAUAAAUGAUCUCAUAUUUCACCAGGAUUGCAUUGGGAAACAGUGAUUUAUGGAAACAUUUCUAAAUGCCUCCUGUUCUGUUAUUUCAGUAAUAAUGACUAAUAUUCUGGGAACAAUACUGAAUACAGUGGAGUGAAUAAACAUAUUGAUCGGUACUGCUGCCUGUCAGGACCUUCACAUUUUAUUUCAGACAUUUACCAACCUCACUGAUUAAUUCUUAAUUAGUGGUCACAGAAAAUAACCAGCCAAUGUGUUGUAUAGGCAGGCCUGUUUAGCAUGCUUAAAGCUAGUUUAGACAACACAAUAGCCUCUGAACCUGCACCUCUCUCUGAUAAGUCACCACAUUGAUUGUGAUUAAAGAUGAAUUUUUCCUCUUGAAAUUUCUCCAUUUACGUUCGUGAGCACUUGCGCCAGAUGGACCGACAGCACAGCACUGGGAGUAAUUAGCACACACAUUUAAUUAAAUCUGAAUCUUAGAGGGUAAAUAUGCAUGAUUAGCAUGGAUAUGAGCUCUUGCACCCCAUGAAGUAUGCUGUUUUUUCUUUUAUUCUUUCCAAAUCGAUUUUUCAUGAAUUCUCCAGAUGCCAAGAACUGUCAUGUCUAACUGUACAGUCGGCAUAAUCUCUUUGUAAACAUUCAACACUGAAGUCUGAUUAAAAUAAUGCAUUUUCUUUUUCCUGUCAUUCCAGAAGCCUGGCUGUCACAUUGACCAAAGAAUGUCGGAUCUCUCAAUUUUCUUGUUUUUCAGUAAAGCAAAUUGGAGAAAGCAGCAGCACUAGAGUUCCUGAUUGACAACUUCUGUAAACAGUACUUUAAACUGGAGUUGCCUGCAUUCAAAACUUAAAUAACGUGUCCUCUGUACUGUGCCAUGUGGACGAGUCCGCUUCCACCUACGUACUUGUUCUAGUAUAGUUUUAUAACUUCUAAUGGCAUUUUUUAAACAAAUGAAAAGCAAGCCUACCAUCAGCCACUUGUCUUUUAACAUAUGGUUUCUGCCCACCACAACACAUUAGCUCUUGAGGUAGAAAAUAAGCCAUUUACAUUGAAUAAAAAUGUUCCUAAUUUUGAAGUAUUUCAUUAGCAUUGCACAAACUGUAUCAUAUGAUUUAACUAACCAGAAUUAGCUGCCUGACAUCUCUUUUAAAGCAACUCCAAAAAAGCUGAUGUGGCUGAUAAUAACGCAGUAUUUGCAUCAUAUGGGAAUUUUUCUAAUUAUCACUUUCCAACUGGGAGAAACCAUUCAUGUCAACCUCAGAGUAGUAAUGUUGCCUGAAACUCAUAUGAUGGAAAACGUCAAAAUUUGUUCAAAAUAUAAUGUGAAGAUAAAAUAAAUGUGUGUAGAUGUGUUUGUUUUCUGUUCAGAAGGUAUUAUGAAUCAAAAAUGAGCUUUCGCCAUUUUAAUACAUGUUGGUUGAUCAUAUUAAUAAUUAAGUAACUUUCAGGCUUAGAACUCUAAAUCACAGUGCAGAUGCAAAAUUAAUCCAUUUACACAAUCAGUUGGAAAGGCCCCCAUCUGCAUAUGUUAAAAGGCAAUUACACAUAAGAGAAAAGAUGUGCUAAUAAAUCAGCAUGCACAUAUUUUACAGACAUCAAGUUUCAUAUGUUUUUACACAGAGCCUCAGUUCUGUUGAAUAUUAGGAAAUGUGCUAAGGUGUAAAAUUAAAACAGUGACAUGCAACAUGCGAAUGCUGACUAAUGGAAAAUAAAAACCCCAAUCACCCUUUUAAAAAUGUAAACAAGGUGCAACACACAAGUCCUUUUAAAUUGGAAUAAAAAGAUGUUUUCCCAUGCUCCUAAAUGCUUCCACAUUACUCUAUAUUAAAGCUAAUUUAUGCCAGCUAGCUAUCAUCAGUUCUCUCAGAAAGUAUUGGAAUGUCAAGGUCAGUUAUUUUAUUUGUGCUUUACACUGAAAUGAUUUGGGUUUCAGAUCAAAAGAUUAAUGCGAGAUAGAUCAGAAUUUCAGUUUUCAUUUCCUUAUAUUUAAAUCUGAUGUGUUUUUUCUUUUUUUGUAAUGCUUUUCCAGGCUUGUUUCACAGCUUAUUUCAAUUGUGGUUUGUUUUGUCUCCUCUUCAGGAGCUGAAAUGCAUGAUCAAUUUGCUUAUAUGAUUGUGGUACCUUCACCCCUGCCCUGUGGAGGUUGUUGGUGAUGGCACUGACUGUUGUUUUUGGGUUUUACUUCACAGGUCUCAAUGUUUCUGUCAUCACCUGUUGUUGUUUUCAUUGGAUGACAUGUUCUAUGUCUGGUUGUUAGUACACCAGUGGUUUCUUUCUUUUCAGGACAUUCCAAACUGUUGUAUUCGCUAUGCUCAAUGCUUGUGCAAUGGCUCAGAUAGAUUUUCCCAGAGACAGCUUUCUGGUCGUCAUGUUGGUUUAUCCUUUUUAACAACAAAUGCAGUCUUCACAGGCAGACCCCUAAACAAUCAAUUUAACAGGGCACACCUGGGCAGCAAGAAACACCUGUCAGUCACAUGUUCCAAUAUUCUUGAUCACUUAAUUAUAAAAAUUGGUGAGUUCAAACAAGGUGCCAUGUUCUACAUUGAUUAACACAUCUAGAUGAAAAUAUGAGGAAAUUGUUCUUUUCUGUUCUGAUCUGUCAUUUCAAAUUCAUCUUUCGAUCUUUUUUUACAUGUCUCCUUCAUUUGUUGUUUCACAGAUGGUCAUAUGAUCAUAUUUAUUUAUUUGGUGGCAUUUAAAUUUAGAUAUAAUGUAACCAUUCAUAUAUUAGUAAAAACAAACAAACAAAAAAAUACUUUAAAAUGAAGCAUGAUAUUGUGGAAUAUGUUUAGUUGAUAUUUUACCAGCCCCUUUUAUCUGCUCGUUUAAUCAUGAUUAUGCUCUUUGAUUGAUUUUUUCUUUCGCCUGUUAAUGGGCUCAGUGUUGACAGUAUAGAGACACCAUUAUAAGACGCCCGUUUGUUCAGAGACUCUAAAGCAUCUGUCGUUUUGCAAUAUAGGAAGUGGAUAUGUGCGGUGGGUGACUAACUACAGAAAUUAUUAGCAGUGAUAAAUUGCAAAGUAAGAGGCAGCAUCUGCCUGUAAAAUCAGAGGCAGGUCUAUCCUGAUGGGCCAAAAAUUAUCAGUCAAGCACAGAGUUGGUUAAAAAAGAAUAGAUAACUUUUUCAGGGGAGGAAAGAGAAAAGCAGACAUAGCCGAUCUGGACAGAAAUAAAAUUCCAGCAAAGCACAAGAUGGAGUUGAAUCCCGUCCAAAUAGAGCUUUAAUAAGGGUUAGUCACUGAUUUAAGGAAAGGUUAAGCCAUGAGUUUUAUGUGCUUAUCAGCUAUUUAAUAGAAAUUAGUGGUUGUUGAAAAGCAAUUAAUUUUGCAAUGCAUUGCAAUGAACUCGGCAUGAAUAACAUAAGUGCGAAUAUUACACCAUAGUGUGAUAUUUUGAUUAAUCAGUGAACUAGGAAGCAGAUUAGAGAGUGAGUGACCAAGCAUAGCUAUUAUAGGAUUUUCACAAACAUAGCUAUUAAAUGCACUGCAUGGGAGAUAUUGCGUCUCAUCAUUUCAGUAGCAAUUACAGAACUGUCAAGACCACCAAAAUCAUCAGAAGUAAUAGCUAAGGCCAUGUUGCUGUUCAUUAAUUUACAUUUCUUGUUGCCUUUCACAGACAGUGGCCGUCGUUAAGUAUGAGAAUGCUGCUGCAACUUGAACACUUACUGCUUCUUACAGUUUCCGUGACAGAUCCUGAGCUUGGAUAUCAUGAAUAGAAAACAUUUAAUUAUACUCUAUUUUGUUCUGCCCCAGCAAGGAUUAUGACAUGAGCUUAAAGGUUGUUCUAACUAAAAAGGCAAUUAUUAGAUUUUUUUUUCACCACAGACAGACUAAUACUAUAGAUUCCUGUUGCCAGAGACUGACUACCUAUAGAGUGAUUUGCCUGUGCUAUGAAAAAAAAUUAAUUGAAAAAUAUCUACAAAUCAGAUUUUCAGGUUAAUAUGUGAGAAAGACUUGUUGUGAUGAACAGAUAACAAAGUAAACAAAUAAACAAAUAAAGCUUAAUAGUGCACAAAUGCACUGGAGCAUUUAAAAAACAAAAAACGAAAACAUAAAUUGUACUUGCUGUUGCCAUCUUUACAGCUAUACCGCUGAGUUGUAGGUAAUUCAAUGGUGAUUUAUCUUUAAAGUUAUUUAGUCUUACAUUAAAAGGAUUAUGUGCAAAAUCACUUUAUUAUGUUGAAAUAAUAAUUUAAAAAAUAAUGAUGUAUGUAAUUUCUUCUAUUCCAUUUAAGUAGAAAUGUACAAUUAGUCAAAAUAAUAUUUUCAAGCAAGGAUUACAUUUUCAUUAAUAUUGUCAUGAUAUUACAGUAUAUCAGACAGAGUGUCAUGUUUUUAAAGUUUAAGGAAUUUCAGUUUGGAGGUGUGCACUUACCUUUUCUAGAAAGGCAUAAUAAGGAAGCAGGGGUAGUUCUAAUAUUCUGAAGUGUCCACAAUAAUAAUACUGUGUAUGUGGUGAAUACAAUGCUAUAUGUAGUGUAUGUUUAUUGGCACAUACGUUAUCAUAAUUAAUCAUGAAUACAGUGCGACUCCCCUCCACAACUUCAUGCCACUUUUGGUGUCAUCACUAUAUACAGUGAUGGUUGGAAUGAUGAGCUGUUGCCAUUUUGUGAGAAAGAUUAGGGCAAGUUACAAAAUGUGUAAAUAAUUAUAGGUCAUUUUUAAAAUAACUUAAUGUACUAUAGCUGUAUGUUCCACGCUUUAAUCAUUUGAACAUUUCAUCAAUCAUAGUUUACAUCAAUUAUAAAUAUAUUUUAAAAAAUGCGUAAGAAAAUAUAUUAAUAUUAAUCAAUGAUAAUAAAAGGUUUAAGAUCAAUAUGAGGAAGCUUAAAGAGUUAUUCAAAUUGCAUAUAAUUUAUAUUUUAGUAAACUGUUCUUUCAAGAUUUCUUCAGUUCCUCUUUAAUAUAAGUAAUCCAUAGCAUGAUACUUAUAAUCCAUAGCAUGAUACAAGAUGUUAGUGUUAUUGUGCAAUAUGAUGGCACUAGAUGGCACUAUUGUAUCAUUUUGAAAUGUAAAGGCAACGAUUUAAAAUGAGAAAUUACAAGUUUCACAUUUAUAUAAAUAUAGUUAUUAUUAAUAUUAUUAUUGUUGUUGUUGUUGUUGUCAAAGAUAUCUCACAAACAAUGAAAUUAAAUGUUUCUCCAUUAAAAUAAAGAUCAAUAAACAGUAAUAAAUUAAACAAAGGCAAUAUUUGGUGUGACGACCCUUUGCUUAAAAAAAAUAAAAAUAAAAAAGGUAGUCUCAUGUAGAAUUAGUGCAGUUUUAUAAGGAAAUGAGCUGUAAGUUUUAUUGAGCACCUUGCAGAACCAGCCACAGUUCUUCUGGAGACUUUAUAUCAUUAUGGUUUUUGUCUGAAAAGUGUCUCUUACCACUCAAUAUGUUGGUUUCUUUAAUGACAUACAGACAGAAAGACACAUACAUUAAGUCUUAUGUUGUCUGCAGAUUCAAAUAAAUAACAUAUAAUAUACAUUAUAAUUUAAUACAUUCUAAUGUAUUAAUUAAGAGUUUUGUUAUUCAGCAGUUAUGUUGGCUUCAAAUCCCGUGGUUUAUGCUGAACUGAAUUCAUGUGGUCAGUUUAAUCCUUUUACUGUCUUUUACUGAUUAAAAUAAAGAGCGACGAUUGAAGCAUGAGAAAUAAUCUGUAAUGCUUUCUGUUAUGCCCAGAUUAAUCCAUCUUUUUUUUUUCUUUUUUACUUCUAAUUAUUUGGUAACAGAGAUUUGUAAAUCUGAUAAAGCCUCAAAGUAAAUAUUAUCCUUAAUUUAUGGCUGUAAAACAUGCCCAAGUGACAUUUAUUUUAUAUUUAUUAUAUUUGCAAUGUAAUGAUUUUUCUGUAAGCGUUUAACUGAAUAAAAAAGCUGCAGUUUUUAAUAAGUAUUUAUAACAUUGUUGUAAAAUGUGAACAUAUAAAACAUGGUAAAAUACAGAGAG
ensembl:lncRNA